CCCAAUCCUCUCUCACUCCAUAAAUCAAACUGUAUUACCUCUGCUGGUUGAAGGAAGGUUUGUGCUUACAAGCUAUUUGACAAAAUUACUAUUAGUUUUUAUCAAUUGAAAUCAUCUCUCUACCCCAUCUCUCUCUCUCUCAUCUACCAUCCUCUUUCACUGUUAACUUUGUUCUUUCUUCUUAUGAUGUACAAUUAAGUUUCAAAACUAUUUUUAGUUUUAAUUAUUUGAUCUAAUUAGAUGGGGUUUGUUGAUUUCAAAUUUAAGUUUGAUUUUAUUAAAUCAUAUUGUGGAUUUUAUUUGAUCUAAAAUGUGUUUUUGAUUUGGGUUUUUUAGAGUAAAUUAAGA
rnacentral:lncRNA from 1 species